GAUGAACGCUAGCGGUGUGCCUAAUGCAUGCAAGUCGAACGGGAACUCUUGGAUUCGUCUGAGAGGGAGAGUGGCGAACGGGUGAGUAACACGUAGGUGACCUGCCCCGGAGAGGGGGACAACCAUUGGAAACGAUGGCUAAUACCCCAGAUGUCAAUCUAUUUGGAAAGGAUUGACUAAAGUUCCGGCGCUCCGGGAGGGGCCUGCGGCCCAUCAGCUAGUUGGUAGGGUAACGGCCUACCAAGGCGAAGACGGGUAGGGGGCGUGAGAGCGUGACCCCCCACACUGGUACUGAGACACGGACCAGAUACCUGCGGGUAGCAGCAGCAAGGAAUAUUGCCCAAUGGACGCAAGUCUGAGGCAGCAACACCGCGUGGAGGACGAAGGCUUUCGAGUUGUAAACUCCUUUUCUGGGGGAAGAGAAAGGACGGUACCCCAGGAAUAAGUCUCGGCUAACUACGUGCCAGCCGCCGCAGUAAAAC
rnacentral:rRNA from 1 species